CGGCCGCGUCGACGGCGAAGGCGACCACCUGGGCUAAUACUGACACUGAGGUGCGAAAGCGUGGGAGCAAACAGGAUUAGAUACCCUCGGUAGUCCACGCCGUAAACGAUGUCGACUAGCCGUUGGGAUCCUUGAGAUCUUAGUGGCGCAGCUAACGCAUUAAGUCGACCGCCUGGGGAGUACGGCCGCAAGGUUAAACUCAAAUGAAUUGACGGGGCCCGCACAAGCGGUGGAGCAUGUGGUUUAAUUCGAAGUUCGACGCGGCCG
rnacentral:rRNA from 1 species